AUUCUCAAGUCAUUCUCUAUCAUAAUCUCCACUGAUCAUAGUCUGAGCAGUGCAAUACCAAUGGCCGAGUCUGUUGUUUCGUCUGUGGUGCAGACAAUAGGAAAGCUGCUCGUCGACGAAGCCAAAUUCUUGUGGGGCGUGAAGGGCAAGGUCGAGGACCUGCAAAAGGAGCUGAACCUGAUCCAGUGCUUGCUGAGGGAUGCGGACGCGAAACAAGAGGAGAACCAAACUGUUCGAGAAUGCAUCUUGCAACUCCGAGACAUUGCCUAUGAUGCUGAGGACGUCAUCGAGCAAUACAUCUUCAGAGUCGCGCCGAAGAAGGGACAAAACAUCAUCAAAGCGUUCUUCAUGGCGAAGUGCACGUGCGUGCGGGCUCAUGUGGUGGGUACAGAGAUCGAGGGCUUAAAAUCCAGAAUUUCCGAUAUUGGUGAUAAGAUGCAGAAAUAUGGCAUACGACCUUUGGAUGAGGACGAACGCAAAUGCGCGAGAGUUUUGACGCCGCGACAGACUUAUGCCCAUUUCGAGGAGGAGGAUUUUGUCGGGAGGGAAGAUGGUAUCGAGGUGUUGGUAAAAGAGCUGAAGGAUGGAAAACACAGAGUUGUUGCUCUAUGGGGAAUGGGUGGUGUGGGUAAGACCACACUCGCUAAGAAAGUCUUCAAUCACGACAAAUUGAAGAACCAUUUCAAAGGUUUUGCUUGGGCUUGCAUAUCUCAAGAAUAUCACACGAGGGAUAUCUUGGAGAGAAUUCUUGUUAAGUUGAUCCCUGAUCAAAGAGAAAGGGUUACAAAGAUGAGAAAUGAGGAAUUGUUAGAAACUCUAUACAAGACCCAAAAAGAGAAGAAAUGUAUCGUGGUUCUUGACGAUAUUUGGACCAAAGAGGUAUGGGAUAGUCUUCGAGCCGCAUUCCCAGUCAAGGACACUAGAAGCAAGCUAUUGAUAACAACCCGCAAUAAAGAAGUAGCGGAGUAUAUCAAUGCUCAUUGUUUUCUCCAUGAACUUCAGUGCUUAUCGCUCAAGGAGAGCUGGGUUCUACUAAAGAAGAGGGCAUUUCCUGAAAUGAAAGUUGGUCGAGGUAUUGUUGCGGGUCAAGCUGUAGAAGGUAUUGCAAGACAAUCAGAGAUGGAGGGACAAAUACCAGAAAUCACUGAAGACAUGAAGAAGUUAGGAGAUGAACUCCUUAAGAAGUGUGAGGGAUUACCUUUGGCCAUUAUUGUGCUUGGUGGACUUUUGGCGGUCAACAAGUGGGAGACGGUUCACAGAAACAUCAAUUUGUAUUUUCGUGAUAAGAUUGAUGUAUUCGAUGUGUUGGCCUUCAGCUAUAAUGAUCUACCAUGGAAUCUAAAGCCAUGCCUCCUCUAUUUGGUUAGCUUUCCGGAGGAUUUGGAAAUCCCUGUAAAGAGAGUCCUUCGCAUGUGGAUUGCUGAAGGCUUUGUGCCGUUCGAUUCAUCUGACGAAGAGGGAGAAACUACAAUGGAAGAUGUAGCGGAGCAAUAUUUAAUGGAGUUGGUUAAGAGGGGACUGGUCCAAGUACGACUCAACUUGAUUGGAAAUAUCAAAACCUGUCGCCUCCCCAACCUGAUGCGAGACUUAUGUGUCUUCAAGGCUAGGCAAGAGAAGUUUCUAAGCUUUCAUAACAUUCAACAGGACAAUGAAAGGGAGGGUAGUUCUUCUUCAAUGGCAAUAGAAGUUGAGUCAACUUGCAAGACGCGGAGGCUUUCUCUUUAUGUGCGUGAGAUUGGUGAAGGAAAGGUGACUCCGGGGGUGGAACAAAUAAGGACUAUGCCCCACAUUCGAACUCUUAUGUUCUUCCAGUUUGGAAAAUCUACCCAAUGGAUGUGGGAGCAAUUUCAACCUAUUUUCGUCAACUAUAAGUUUCUUAGAGUUCUGAAACUGGAACAUAUUUCUAUGGAGAGAGGAAAUUUACCUGAAUCAGUGGGAGACCUAGUCCAUCUAAGAUUCUUAAGUUUAGCAAAAAGUGAAUGCAAGGGCUUGCCGCAAUCUAUGGGGAACCUUGUAUGUAUGGAAUUCUUGGACUUGGUUAUGAAUAAAAGAACUACAGUUUUCAUGCCAAAUGUGUUGUGGAAGAUGAGAAGGUUGAGGUAUCUCCGUCUUCCUCGUAACUUUGAUGUCGAGGAGAAAUUCCCUGGGGGCCAGAAGAAGUUACAGCUGAGCACUUUAAAGAAUCUAUGGACCUUGAGAAACUUUAGUACAAAGAAAUGUGAUGUGAACGAUCUAGGCAAGCUUAUUGAUUUGCGAAAACUGUCUGUCUUUGAUGACUCGGAUGAUCCUAUCGAGCUGGAGAUAUUUUCGCAACUUGCUGAAUUGAAUUGGAAACAUCUUCGAUCCUCGUCUUUUUAUGUCAAAAGAUCUGAGCAUCUAUGGACUGAAGAUGAAUUGAGUAAAAUGUUAAACUAUGGCCAUAUCUGUAAGCUGUUUCUUUGGGGAAGCAUAAUGAAGUUACCGCGACAUAAGGGUUUACCCCAGCAAUUGAGGAAGCUGGUCUUACUAAAUUCCGAUCUCAAAGAAGAUCCGAUGCCAAUAUUGGAAAAAUUGGAAAACUUGAUUUUUCUCAUGCUAUCGGUUGGUUAUUGCAAGGAAAUGGUUUUCUCUGCAGGAGGCUUUCCUCAACUCAAGUAUUUAAAUCUUUCUGAAUUUUUUGAGUUGGAGGAGUGGAGGGUGGCUGAAGGAGCCAUGCCUCAUCUUUCUCGAUUAGGGAUCUACUUUUGUCCCAAUGUGAGGAAGAAAUUGAGGUCGGUGGUACCUUCACAUGUCUCUAUAUAUCGCGGUGAGCACGAAUCACAUGCGGAAUUUGCGAAGUGGUGAAAGUGAGAGAGGAUAAUGAUGUGGGCGGCCAAGGGUGGCCUCAGCUGUCCGGCGAGAGAGGAGGGAGGAGGCGUGAGCUUGUGGGUUGUCGGGGGGUGGGCCCCCCAGAAUAAUUAGCAGAUGUGGAAAAUGAAAAAUUGAUGAAUAACCGCAAUGCUUUACAUAAUUGAUAAAUAUAUAUCAGUGGAAAUAGAGUAUUAUGGCAUUCCUGUGAUAAUUUUUUUUUUUUUUUUUGGUAAAGGCCUGUGAUAAUUUUUUCAUGUCUUCUUUCCAUCAUAAAUCGUCUAUUCGUUUCGUUUUCCCUCUCAUCCCGGAGGACUUCCAAAUCAGUGGGGGGUGGAAUCUGUUAUUUCACUCGCUGUCGAGAGAACCCAGCGACUUUGCUCAUGGGAGACUGCAAAGUUCUCGCGAGCGCCGUGAGGAGGAGGAGGAGGAGGAGGGAAUUCGUUGCUUCUCCAAAAGAAGGCUGGAUGGGGGGAGGCAUCUGAAGAAAUAAGAGUCGUCGCUUGUCGUGGCGUUGGAAGACAGUCAUCGUUGGAAGCUGCUGCAUUGGAGAGGAGAGGAAAGGAGAGCACAUCCGAUCAUUUCCAUAGUGCUGGUCAGAUGUUUGACGAAAUGCGGAUGUGAAGUAGGAACUGGGGAGCAUCCCCAGUGGCAGAUUAAGAGCGAGUUUGUAUAUUUUCAGAAGGCCAAGGAAUCUGCAUCUUUGAAGGAAAUUCCUUCCCUGCAGCUUAUCAAUCAGACAUUGGGUUACACAAGAGAGCUGAAGCAGAUUGUUUGGGACCUGCGGCAGUGCGUGGUGGUUUGCACUGGUAUUUGCACACCUUUUUUUUUUAAUCUAAGGUAGUCACACACUUUGAAGAUUGGUUAUUUUGUGCUGAUGGCAUCUCAUCCCUUUUGCUCUUUUUGAGAAAUUUGAUACUUAUUUUUAGUAAUCAUAUCCAUUUCGCUGUUGAAUACAAUUUUGUAUUUGAUCUGUAGUAUAUUUUCCUUGGUUUACCUGCUUGGAAGAACCAGAAACCGAAAUCAGUCUAGUCACAUGGAGAUGGACAACUUGGCGAAUGUAUACGUCGUUCUUAAUCGGUCUAACCCUAUGAAUAGGGCUAGAUACAAUUAGGUUUAAUCUGUUAUGGUAGAAUCGAAUAUAUGCACACUUGGUGACAUCAAUUGUCUCCGUUGGUCAAAGAGUUGCAAAGCAUCGACAUAGGAAGGCCAACUAGGGUUGCUUGUGUCCAGUUCAAUUUUUAGUUCAGUAGGUUGAAAUAGCCACCAGCUGUGGGCUUGUGCUUGCUCCUGAUUGAUGGUAUUCUGAAGAGACGGCAUAGGACAAUCAUAUAACAAAUUUCUUUUCCCCUUAUUUUUUUCCUAGACUCCGGAUGAGCUCUAUGAACAUGUGAUUUUGCUUUCUACAUUUGCUGCAUAACACUAUCAAGACUGAGCAGAGUCAAUGAAUCUGGGCUUUGCAAUUUGAUAGAGUCUCGAGUGAUCCAUGAUGUAGCCUUUGCAUGGCAAAAUCGUUGCUAAGUGCCGUUGGCCCUCUCUGAUAAGUGAUGUUCCUCCUGCUACGAAAGAACAAUGAAAGUCAUCAUUAGUUUGCCUAAUUGAUACUUUUGACGGAUCGGGGAAGAGCAAGAGGAAGAAUUUAAUGGGUGGGUAUGCAACAAUGGUCCGCCUCUUCUAAAUCAUAACUCCUUGCUGUUAGGAUGUGACCAUCAUUGAUGGAUCUCGUCAUAUCUUAUGAUGAUGUAAUACUGAACAUUUGAGGAAUUCCCAACCGCCCAAAUGUUUUCAAUUUCUUAAUACUUAUUUUCUUGUUUAUUCCUUCCGUUUUUUUUUUUUUCAAAUUACUGUUGGCUUUUCUUGUUUCUUUUCAGUAGGCCCUUCCGCUCCACAAUGCACGUUUUGUUUCCAUCUUUACAGUAUAGUCUUACUCGAUCUUCAAGAUGACAAUACUAAUCAAAAGCUAACAAGUGCAAAGACUUUGCCACCUCGCUUUUCAUUGGGUUUACAGGAUCUUUUGCAAAAUUGCACUUUCACUGGAUUUGCAUGCACAGUGGACCACGGCGAAUGCUUGAGACUUAUAUUGAAGAUGCACGACAUAAGUUAGAGUUGGUUUAUGGUGAGAAAGAUUAAAUGUCAUUCAGUUGCUAAAUUGAAUGUGGAAGCCUCACAUCACCAGCCUUCCUAAAGAACUCUUUAGUACUUAAUGAGUGUGCUGUUAUUAUAAGUGUGAAGAUGGAAGACCAAGAUGCCCUUGAGCGAGAUUUUUUUCAA